CCCUUAGAUGUCCGGGGCUGCACGCGCGCUACACUGAAGGAAUCAGCGUGCUAAAACCAUUGUCGAAAGGCAUUGGUAAACCCAUUAAAAUCCUACGUGAUUGGGAUCGGGAAUUGCAAUUAUUUCCCUUGAACGAGGAAUUCCCAGUAAGUGUGGGUCAUAAGCUCGCGUUGAUUACGUCCCUGCCCUUUGUACACACCGCCCGUCGCUGCCCGGGACUGAGCCGUUUCGAGAAAAGCGGGGACUGCUGCUGUCGGGACUUUCGGGCCUUGGCUUCGGUGGAAACCGCUUUAAUCGCAGUGGCUUGAACCGGGCAAAAGUCGUANCA
rnacentral:rRNA from 1 species